rnacentral:rRNA from 1 species
UGGGGAAUCUUGCACAAUGGGCGAAAGCCUGAUGCAGCAACGCCGCGUGCGGGAAGAAGGCCCUAGGGUUGUAAACCGCUUUCAGUAGGGAAGAAAAUGACGGUACCUACAGAAGAAGGUGCGGCCAACUACGUGCCAGCAGCCGCGGUGACACGUAGGCACCAAGCGUUAUCCGGAUUUAUUGGGCGUAAAGAGCUCGUAGGCGGUUUGGUAAGUCGGGUGUGAAAACUCUGGGCUCAACCCAGAGAGGCCACCCGAUACUGCUAUGACUAGAGUACGGUAGGGGAGCGGGGGAAUUCAUGGUGUAGCGGUGAAAUGCGCAGAUAUCAUGAGGAACACCAGCGGCGAAGGCGCCGCUCUGGGCCGUAACUGACGCUGAGGAGCGAAAGCAUGGGUAGCAAACAGGAUUAGAUACCCUGGUAGUCCAUGCCGUAAACGUUGGGCACUAGGUGUGGGUCUCAACCAACGAGAUCCGCGCCGUCGCUAACGCAUUAA